GAGGGUAUAGCUCAAGUGAUAGAGUGUGUGCUUAGCAGGCAUGCGGUCCUGGGUUCAAUCCCCAGUACCUCCA
rnacentral:tRNA from 1 species